GGAAGAACAAAAGCAAGGGACAUCACAGCGAGAAGACCAAACAAGACGAUCAGACCCAGUUCUCCGCUAGCAGUGAAUCUCCUAAAGCAAUUACUUUAUAAUCAAUUCUCAAACUUAUUAAGCUUAUGCUCAAAACGUGCUUUGCAAGGUCAAGAUCACGGGAUGAAACCAUUGGUGGUAACCCAAGUUUUCCCGCGUGAUUUCUCAUGCUCAUAAUGAGGGAUCCAUCAGAGGAGCAAAGACCAGCAGCAAACUCCAAUACCAACCAGAGAAGAUAUUAAGCUUAUCG
rnacentral:lncRNA from 1 species